rnacentral:rRNA from 1 species
GGACGAACGCUGGCGGCGUGCCUAAUACAUGCAAGUCGUACGCUUCUUUUUCCACCGGAGCUUGCUCCACCGGAAAAAGAAGAGUGGCGAACGGGUGAGUAACACGUGGGUAACCUGCCCAUCAGAAGGGGAUAACACUUGGAAACAGGUGCUAAUACCGUAUAACAAUCGAAACCGCAUGGUUUUGAUUUGAAAGGCGCUUUCGGGUGUCGCUGAUGGAUGGACCCGCGGUGCAUUAGCUAGUUGGUGAGGUAACGGCUCACCAAGGCUACGAUGCAUAGCCGACCUGAGAGGGUGAUCGGCCACAUUGGGACUGAGACACGGCCCAAACUCCUACGGGAGGCAGCAGUAGGGAAUCUUCGGCAAUGGACGAAAGUCUGACCGAGCAACGCCGCGUGAGUGAAGAAGGUUUUCGGAUCGUAAAACUCUGUUGUUAGAGAAGAACAAGGAUGAGAGUAACUGUUCAUCCCUUGACGGUAUCUAACCAGAAAGCCACGGCUAACUGCGUGCCAGCAGCCGCGGUAAUACGUAGGUGGCAAGCGUUGUCCGGAUUUAUUGGGCGUAAAGCGAGCGCAGGCGGUUUCUUAAGUCUGAUGUGAAAGCCCCCGGCUCAACCGGGGAGGGUCAUUGGAAACUGGGAGACUUGAGUGCAGAAGAGGAGAGUGGAAUUCCAUGUGUAGCGGUGAAAUGCGUAGAUAUAUGGAGGAACACCAGUGGCGAAGGCGGCUCUCUGGUCUGUAACUGACGCUGAGGCUCGAAAGCGUGGGGAGCAAACAGGAUUAGAUACCCUGGUAGUCCACGCCGUAAACGAUGAGUGCUAAGUGUUGGAGGGUUUCCGCCCUUCAGUGCUGCAGCUAACGCAUUAAGCACUCCGCCUGGGGAGUACGACCGCAAGGUUGAAACUCAAAGGAAUUGACGGGGGCCCGCACAAGCGGUGGAGCAUGUGGUUUAAUUCGAAGCAACGCGAAGAACCUUACCAGGUCUUGACAUCCUUUGACCACUCUAGAGAUAGAGCUUCCCCUUCGGGGGCAAAGUGACAGGUGGUGCAUGGUUGUCGUCAGCUCGUGUCGUGAGAUGUUGGGUUAAGUCCCGCAACGAGCGCAACCCUUAUUGUUAGUUGCCAUCAUUUAGUUGGGCACUCUAGCAAGACUGCCGGUGACAAACCGGAGGAAGGUGGGGAUGACGUCAAAUCAUCAUGCCCCUUAUGACCUGGGCUACACACGUGCUACAAUGGGAAGUACAACGAGUCGCGAAGUCGCGAGGCUAAGCUAAUCUCUUAAAGCUUCUCUCAGUUCGGAUUGUAGGCUGCAACUCGCCUACAUGAAGCCGGAAUCGCUAGUAAUCGCGGAUCAGCACGCCGCGGUGAAUACGUUCCCGGGCCUUGUACACACCGCCCGUCACACCACGAGAGUUUGUAACACCCGAAGUCGGUGAGGUAACCUUUUGGAGCCAGCCGCCUAAGGUGG